CCUACGGGAGGCAGCAGUGGGGAAUAUUGCACAAUGGGGGAAACCCUGAUGCAGCGACGCCGCGUGAGUGAGGAAGUAUUUCGGUAUGUAAAGCUCUAUCAGCAGGGAAGAAAAUGACGGUACCUGACUAAGAAGCCCUGGCUAACUACGUGCCAGCAGCCGCGGUAAUACGUAGGGGGCAAGCGGUUACCGGAUUUACUGGGUGUAAAGGGUGCGGAGUCGGUUAAUGAAGUCAGAAGUGAAAAACGAGGGGUCAAACUUAGGACUGCUUUUGAAACUGAGUAGCUAGAGUGCAGGAGAGGUAAGCGGAAUUACUAGUGUAGCGGUGAAAUGCGUAGAUAUUAGGAGGAACACCAGUGGCGAAGGCGGCUUACUGGACUGUAACUGACGUUGAGGCUCGAAAGCGUGGGGAGCAAACAGGAUUAGAUACCCGGGUAGUC
rnacentral:rRNA from 1 species